CCUACGGGGGGCAGCAGUGAGGAAUAUUGGUCAAUGGUCGGGAGACUGAACCAGCCAAGCCGCGUGAGGGAUGAAGGUACAGAGUAUCGUAAACCUCUUUUGUCAGGGAACAAAGGCGGGGACGUGUCCCCGGAUGAGUGUACCUGAAGAAAAAGCAUCGGCUAACUCCGUGCCAGCAGCCGCGGUAAUACGGAGGAUGCGAGCGUUAUCCGGAUUUAUUGGGUUUAAAGGGUGCGCAGGCGGUCUGUUAAGUCAGCGGUCAAAGCCCGGGGCUCAACCCCGGCCCGCCGUUGAAACUGGCAGUCUUGAGUUGGAGAGAAGUAUGCGGAAUGCGCGGUGUAGCGGUGAAAUGCAUAGAUACCGCGCAGAACUCCGAUUGCGAAGGCAGCGUGCCGGCUCCACACUGACGCUGAGGCACGAAAGCGUGGGUAUCGAACAGGAUUAGAUACCCCGGUAGUC
rnacentral:rRNA from 1 species